UUGAUUAUUGGUUUUACAGUUGUAUAUCUUUGGCUUGCGUGCAAAGAUGAACUAUUGAUUGAUGAGUAUCUUUGGCUUAUAUGCAUAGAUGAACUGUUUAUUAGUAUGAUUAUGACCAGGGAUCAUUCGGUAUAAUCAUGACCCGUAAUGUUAUUGAUGAUGUGGUAAAAGUCCUCAUUGACUCAUAGUGCAUUGAUGGACAAUUAUUGGUAUGAUUAUAACCAGGGAUUAUUCGGUAUAAUCAUGACCAUUGAUGAUUACGUGAAUAUCUUUGACCGCAGUGCAGGGAUGAUUCGAUG
rnacentral:lncRNA from 1 species